AGAGUUUGAUCCUGGCUCAGGACGAACGCUGGCGGCGUGCCUAAUACAUGCAAGUCGAGCGAGAAAGCUUCCUUCGGGAAGUAAGUAGAGCGGCGAACGGGUGAGUAACGCGUAGAUAAUCUACCCUUGAGAUUGAGAUAACACCGGGAAACUGGUGCUAAUACCGAAUGACGCCUUGGAGUUGGAAUUCCAAGGUUAAAGGGGGGCAACUCCCGCUUGAGGAUGAGUCUGCGUUCUAUCAGCUAGUUGGUGGGGUAAAAGCCUACCAAGGCGAAGACGGAUAGUUGGUCUGAGAGGAUGAUCAGCCACACUGGCACUGAGACACGGGCCAGACUCCUACGGGAGGCAGCAGUAGGGAAUAUUGCGCAAUGGGCGAAAGCCUGACGCAGCGACGCCGCGUGAGUGAUGAAGGUCUUAUUGAUUGUAAAGCUCUGUAAGGAGGGAAGAACAUUUAGUCGUAACGGGCUAAACUGACGGUACCUCCAAAGUAAGGACCGGCUAAAUAUGUGCCAGCAGCCGCGGUAAUACAUAUGGUCCAAGCGUUGUCCGGAAUGACUGGGCGUAAAGGGUGCGUAGGCGGCUACAUAUGUCAGGUGUGAAAUCCCCGGGCUUAACCUGGGAACUGCGCUUGAAACUGUGUAACUGGAGUAUGAGAGAGGCAAGUGGAAUUCCCGGAGUAGCGGUGAAAUGCGUAGAGAUCGGGAAGAACACCAGUGGCGAAGGCGACUUGCUGGCUCAUUACUGACGCUGAGGCACGAAAGCGUGGGGAGCGAACGGGAUUAGAUACCCCGGUAGUCCACGCCGUAAACGAUGUAUACUAGAUGUCUGUAAUAUUUAAAUUGUGGGUGUCGGAGCUAACGCGAUAAGUAUACCGCCUGGGGAGUACGGUCGCAAGAUUAAAACUCAAAGGAAUUGACGGGGGCCCGCACAAGCGGUGGAGCAUGUGGUUUAAUUCGAUGCAACGCGCAGAACCUUACCCGGUCUUGACAUCCUUCGGACCGAUCCUAGAGAUAGGAUUUUUCUCUUCGGAGACUGAAGUGACAGGUGCUGCAUGGCUGUCGUCGGCUCGUGUUGUGAGAUGUUGGGUUAAGUCCCGCAACGAGCGCAACCUUUGUCGUUAGUUGCCAUCAUUAAGUUGGGCACUCUAGCGAGACUGCCGAGGUUAACUCGGAGGAAGGCGGGGAUGACGUCAAGUCCUCAUGGCCCUUAUGACCGGGGCCACACACGUGCUACAAUGGUACGGACAGAGUGAAGCUAAACUGUAAAGUCAAGCGAAUCACAAAAACCGUAUCUCAGUUCGGAUUGGAGUCUGCAACUCGACUUCAUGAAGCUGGAAUCGCUAGUAAUCGCGGAUCAGCAUGCCGCGGUGAAUACGUUCCCGGGCCUUGUACACACCGCCCGUCACACCAUGGGAGCUGUUCUUACUGGAAAACGUUGGGCUAGCCUUCGGGAGGCAGGCGUUAAUGGUGAGGAUAGUGACUGGGGUGAAGUCGUAACAAGGUA
rnacentral:rRNA from 1 species